AUAGAAUUAUUGCUGCGGUUAAAAAGCUCGUAGUUGGAUCUGUGCCUAUUGGACGGGGUCCACCUUCUGGGUGCGUACUCCGCUCCGAGGCUUUUUGCUGGUUUUCCCGUCGUAGCCUUGAUUGGUUGCGGCGGGUGGCUGGCGAGUUUACUUUGAGAAAAUCAGAGUGCUCAACACAGGCGUCUAGCUUGAAUGAUUGUGCAUGGAAUAAUAGAAAAGGAUUUCGGUCCUCUUUUAUUGGUUUUGUGGACUGAGAUAAUGGUUAAGAGGGACAAACGGGGGCAUUCGUAUCGCUGCGUGAGAGGUGAAAUUCUUGGACCGUAGCGAGACGCCCUACUG
rnacentral:rRNA from 1 species